UGCAACCCAGGCCAUUCUGUGACUCUACGAUAUGAAAUUAUCGCAAAGAGCCCACUGAAAGAUGCAAGGAAAGAAAGGAGCCCUCACGCGGCCCAUAACAAACAUGGCGGCAGCACCGCCCGUAGCAGCGGAAGCAGAACGCUGGCUCUCCAUUGGCCAAAUUCAUCGCUGACGAGCCCGCCUCCUCACUUAACUCGCCUUCCGAUAGGCUUUCGCGUUCUCUGAGCCCGCCCCUACCUCCUUGCUGUCACAGGGCGCAAAGUUUGUGCGCAUGCUCAGCGUCCCCGGAAGUUGUGUAGUGAGGGCGCGGCGCAAAAUGGCGGCUGCGGGGCGGCUGCAGGCCUGGGGCGUGCUGCGCAAACCGAGCCCGGUGACGGAACUGUGGGACGGCACGCGGUGGGAAUUGCCGCUGGGCUGAGCCAGGCCCGUCGGUGAGGAGCCCCCAGUGCUUCAGGAGUGGUCUCGUCAGGGCGGAGCAGAGCAGGAGGAGCGUCUUUCUCGCCCUGCUGGCCGUGCUCCGUCCAUCCCAGGACACACUGCUGCCCCAGUGCCAGCCACAGACCGACAUUCACAGCCGGUCAUCAUCCGUUUGGCAGCUGUUGGUCAAUCGUUGGUCAGCCAGAACCCCCACGUCCUUCUCACAGCUCCUCUCCAGCAGCUCAGCCCCAACCUGCGCAGCUCCAUGAGGUUAUUUCUCCCCAGCUGUAGGAUCCUGCACUCCUCCUUGUUAGACCCAAGGAUCUCCAACCCUCACCGAAAGCCAGGCUGGAUUUUUCCAUGCUGCCAGCAAUGUGUCAGAUUCCCUCUGCCAGCCUACAUCAUCUAUAAAGAUGGAGUGCUUAGGAAAUACCAGGAUGAAAACUGAUUUCAUAAACUUUAUCAAAGACCAGGAAUGGAAAUCCACUGAACCAGUUUCAUCAUGGUUUCAUCCUUCCUUCUACCUGGUGAGCAGUAUGUCAGCUUUGUGUCAGAUGUCAGCGUGGAUCAGGCACUGCCACGGUUAUUUAACAGAAGGCAUUGGAAUGCAGAUUUGGGGCUCGUAUGCUGUGUUCCUGUUGGCAACUCUCUUCUCAGGACUGAUCUGCAACUUGAAAGUGAACCACUUGAAGCACAUCAGUUUGUGUCUGCUGCGUGCCUUUGGUUUAACCUUAUCUUUCUUCCAUUUCAGAUAAUGGUGUUCUUAGCAGACUGCCUCUGUGCUUCCAAAAACACAGGCCAGCACAGUACCCUUAUUCAAGCAAGCACACUGUGUGCUUCUAGUUCAGCUGUUGGGUAAAUCUUAAUAAAAAUGGGUUUGUAACUUGUGUCUGCAGAACAGGAGCUUUAGGGAAGAAGUCUCAUGUGUGAUUUGUGUUUUCUUUACCUGCAGCUACUUGCAUUUUAUGGUUUAUAUUGGGAUUGUGUAUGCAGCUAACACUAAACUAUUUCUUCAAAAUAAUUCUUCAGCUGGCAGAAAAAUACCACGUCUGCAAGUUGUGAAAUGCACGGGAGAUAGAAUAAAGUUGUUGAAUCACUGCCUUCUUUUCUGGAGUUCUCAGUUUUGAAGAGUUGGGGGAUUUGUCUCUUGUUGAGGGGCAAAGUGUCACAGAAUUGUAGGGGUUGGAAGGGACGUCUAGAGAUCAUCGAGUCCAACCUCCUGCAGAGCAGCUCCUUCAGCAGGCUGCACAGGUUGGCAUCUCUAGCCUGGAAGACAGCACACCUCUCUGGAGAGGUUCCCACGUGGGAGCCUCCGUGCCCCCCAGCAAGGAGUCCCCAAUUACUAAGACUCUCUGCCCUUUUUUGGUGGCACUGGUACUGAUGCAGUACCCCGACUGGCCCUGCUCCCUAUGCUUCUUACCCCCUGUAUUAUCAACAUGCCUCUCAGGGCUGGGUUCUGACUGCUUUUCAGACUGCUGUCCAGCCUGAAAGCCUCAGAUCCAUUACUCAGGGGCACUUCAGGGGUUCUCUAUAACAGAGAAGCAAAACUGCAGCUGUUUCCAUGGAAAAAAAAAAAAUGCUGUAACACUAUAGUGAGUGAGCCAUUUGUGAUGUGUUGCUGUGAAAAGAAGAGCUUAAAUGAUUCCCUGGACUGAAGCUGCACUGAGAUACUUGUGGUCUCUAGCUGGGACUGGCUUGCAUAUCUCAUGGUCAUUUGAGUAAUUUGGGUUAGAUGAUUUUUAUGGUUUGGGAAAGAGCUUUCAUGCAUACCAGGCUCUGAGUGAUAGCCGGCGGGUGGGGGGAUGUAUUCUUGUGUUGCAAAAAGAAUGUGGGCCAGUUGACAAACGAUGUUUAAAAUUCAGUUCUUUGUUACUUCUUUCCAUUUGCCAAAAAUCCUGCUGCAUAUGGACGCAAAUCAUCUCAGCUACAGAGUGCUUCCUCCUCUUGUCCACCUACACACAGUAUAUCAAACCCUACCAGCCGUGGUGGCCAACACCGGUGCGUUUAUCUUGGAGUAGGAAGCUCAGAUGAGGAUUGGCCAAGUUCUGCAAUGAAAGAUCCUUGGCAGGGGGAACAAAUCAACACAAGGAACUGCUGAUUAAAUAACCCUUGGCUAGAUUUAUGUAGAGCGCGUGAUAUCCUGAUGUCCUGUGGUCACUUCUGAAAACACCUCUUGUGUCUUCUGCUCACCCAGGAAAUCGGCUGCUGCCGUGACAGUGAUUUCAGCUCCAAAACUGUGAAAUUUGGGGCAGGAUCUUGAGAGAUGUGUGCACUUGUGGAGCUCAUGGGCACUGCUCUUUGGAUUUGUCCAUUGCAGUUGUGUAGUUGGCCAUGAGCCGAUGUUCCUCACCAAAACUCAAAUGUCCCAGACAGAGAUCUGCUCCAUCUGGAGCACUGAUCUGUUUGUAAAGGUCUUUGGAACGUGUCUCUCCAUGGUUUACUCCAGCUCUACCCUGAAAAGUGGUGGAAGAAGUUGUUGGGUUGUAAGAAGGAAACCAAGCCAGGGGAAUCAUGGGGCCAUUCAGUUUGGAGAGGACCUCCAAGAUCCCUGUCCUGUCCCACCCUGCCCACUGCCACAUCCCCACAGCUCUGGAACACCUCCGGGGAUGGUGACCCCACCAUUCCCUGUGCAGCUGUGCCAAUACCUCACCACUCUUUCAGAGAAGAAAUUGUUCCUAAUAUCCAGCCUUGGAGAUGCACUUAAAGGUUGCUUGGACCAAUGUUAUUCCUGAAGGAAAUGUUUCUUCUACAGCAAGACCAGAAAUAAUUUCAUAGCUUAACAGAGCAUGGCAAAAGCGUGAAACAAACCAGUGUAAGUAAUUUGAGUUGAUAGAUGUGCAUACAGUGGGUACAGGGCCAAGUUGUGCCACGUUACGGUAUGGUACCCCAUCCCUGGAAGUGCCCAAGGCCAGGCUGGAUGGUGCCAUGGGCACCCUGAGCUGGCAGUACCUAUUGCAGUGGUUGGUAACCCUAGUUUGGAACUAGGUGAUCUUAGAGAUGCCUUCCAACCCAACCAUUCUUUGAUCUCCGCGCUGCUUCUCACACUGCGCGUUGCCCUUGGCCAGGGCCAGGCUGGGGAAGCAGCAGUCAGCUGGUGGCAGCAGAGCCGUGCAGUGUGCGAGCUGCUCGCAGAGCUGGUUUUGUCAGGGUUUGCUCCCUGCAAAGCCUGGGGCUUUGUCA